rnacentral:rRNA from 1 species
CUACGGGUUGCUGCAGUGGGGAAUAUUGCACAAUGGGCGCAAGCCUGAUGCAGCCAUGCCGCGUGUAUGAAGAAGGCCUUCGGGUUGUAAAGUACUUUCAGCGGGGAGGAAGGGAGUAAAGUUAAUACCUUUGCUCAUUGACGUUACCCGCAGAAGAAGCACCGGCUAACUCCGUGCCAGCAGCCGCGGUAAUACGGAGGGUGCAAGCGUUAAUCGGAAUUACUGGCGUAAAGCGCACGCAGGCGGUUUGUUAAGUCAGAUGUGAAAUCCCCGGGCUCAACCUGGGAACUGCAUCUGAUACUGGCAAGCUUGAGUCUCGUAGAGGGGGGUAGAAUUCCAGGUGUAGCGGUGACAUGCGUAGAGAUCUGGAGGAAUACCGGUGGCGAAGGCGGCCCCCUGGACGAAGACUGACGCUCAGGUGCGAAAGCGUGGGGAGCAAACAGGAUUAGAUACCCCCGUAGUC